CGCUCGCUGGGGAUCAUUCGCGUUGUUGCCUCGUGUUUAGUCUAACGACCAUGCACGCCACCGCCGUCGCCGGAUGAGACCGGUCCGCGCGAAGCGUUGUCGUCCCCACGGGCGCAUAGCGCGUCCGCCCGACGACUCUGGCGCAGAGAGGAUAUAUAUCGGCAAGCGGCGGCGCGAAUCCUUUCCUCGCCCGGCGCGUCCAACUUUCUUUCCAUCGCUCGGUUAAGUAUGCAACCGACCAAGGGUCGCCGCCGAGUCCGUGGUGGUGGCAGAGGUCCCCAGGGCCACUCUCGCUGAUUUCUUUCUUAUUUUUUUUUCCUGGCGCACCAGGUCUUGUUAGGUCUCGGCGGGAGGGCACCGGGGUAUAAAAGAACCGCGGGAACCCGCGCCGGUUUCUUCUCGUCGUGCCAGAAUUCUAGUCGCAACUCUCUCUCUCUCCUGCAAGAGAAGAAAGGUGUGCGUGUGUGAUGUCCGCAUGAAAUCCGGCGAGCAAAGUAUUCUGUACUUGGAUACCGGGACAGGGAGCUUCGUUAUUUGUGUGCCGGGAGACAGGCAAUUGCUGCGCGGGGACCAGUGCGCGGUGAACAGCGGGUGUAUAUGCGUAUAUGUGAUGUGCGUGUGUGGUGCCUGUGGUCUACACGUACGGCAUUGAUCGCGGGUGUUGGUGACAAUGCACGUUGUGGGGUGGCAGCUUCCCAAACGGAGUCACCGGAGCGGCUACUGCCGGGCCCUCGUCGAAGGAUGGCGAAUGGCCAAGAGGAGCACACGGUGGCACUGGUUCCGGGAGUCCGGGAGUCACGGCCCCAGCAAGAACCACGCAUGGGUUCCAGGCCGUCGGGCAUCUGUCAAGCAGCAUUGCCACCAGCCGCCGUUGACAACGCAGUGGCAGUGCUGGGGCCUGCCAUGGCGUAGCAUGUUCCCGGCCAAGAAGCUCCGGCUCCGGCGACUACUCGCCUGGGCCGCCGGUCUCAGCUUCUGUACCGUGCUGCUGGUCGGACUCCGGGAGCAGCAGCAGGCGCCCGCACUGCCCGAAGUUGCGCAGCACGAUGUCAACGCCAUCGGAGGGCAGCGUGCCGCGGACCAGCAGCCGCUCCCUGGACAAGCACCGGCGCCAGGCGUGCCGCUGGUGGCCAGGACCAACGCCGUGCGAAGCAAGGCAGCGUCGCAGGGCCAAGCCGGCUCCCCCGACCGUCCCUGGUACAUGAGCGGUGGUCGGCGGCGGCCGCUGCCCGGCGAUACGGGCAGCCUGUGGCCGCACGAGGACUCCGGCGACCGCAUCGAGCAGCAGCUGAUGUUCGUGCCCGAGGACUACAAGCGGAACAGCACGCGGAUCAAGAAGAUCCUGCUCAUGCGCGGACUCGGCGGAUGGGGGGACCUGCCUAGGGGACGGGCGGUGUUCCUGCGCGACAAGUGUCCCGUGGACACGUGCGAGAUCGUGACGUCACAGGAGGAAGCGCCCGACGCGGACGCGGUCCUCUUCAAGGACCGCUUCGUGGCCCCCAAGUACCGGCGCCCCUGGCACCAGGUGUGGAUCCUGUACCUGCUCGAGUGUCCCUACCACACGCAGUCCUUCAUCAACUUCAAGAACAUCUUCAACUGGACGGCCACGUAUAGGCACGACUCGGACAUAGUGGCGCCGUACGAAAAGUUCGUCCGCUACGAUGACGGCGGCAGCACGACUGCGCGGCCCUCGGCGCCAGCGUCUGCGCCGCGCAAUAAGACCAAGAAAGUUGCCUGGUUCGUGUCCAACUGCGCGGCGCGCAACCAGCGGCUGCAGUUCGCGCGCAAGCUGGCCGCCUACAUCGACGUCGAUAUUUACGGCACGUGCGGCUCACUCAAGUGCCCCCGUGCGCGGGCCGGCCACUGCUUCGAGCUGCUGGACCGCGACUACAAGUUCUACCUAGCCUUCGAGAACUCCAACUGCAAGGACUACAUCACCGAGAAGUUCUUCGUCAACGGUUUGGGGCGUGACGUGGUACCGAUUGUGAUGGGCGCCCGGCCCCUGGACUACGUGCGCGCAUCGCCCGAUCGCUCGUUCAUCCACGUGGAGGACUUCCCGUCGGCGAAGGCGCUGGCCGAAUACCUGCACCUGCUGGACCGCAACGAGACUCUGUACAACGAGUACCUGCGCUGGAAGGGCUCCGGAGAGUUCAUCAACACUUACUUCUGGUGCCGCCUGUGCGCCAUGCUGCACGCGCCGCCACUGCCAAAGGUGUACCCGGACAUCGGCGCGUGGUGGGCGGGGCCCGGCACCUGCCGCAGCGACCGCUGGAGGGACUUCAAGCCCAAGCAGGACCCCGUGGCGUACGUGCUCACCUGACCCUGCUCCGACGCGAGUUUGCAUCAUCCUGCUCCUCCUAGCGGCCAGUCAGCCAACCAAGCGGCCCGCUAAGGCGCAUCGGAGCGCUCUCUUCGAUGACUCUGGUCAUAUGAGGGCACCAACUCGCACUCCUGGAUGGUGCGUUCGAGUGGUAUGGCGUGCUACUGCUGGACAUGGCACGUAUACGACUGACUCAAACCAGGGGCGGAAAACUUGUGAUAAGGCGCCGGCCAGCAGCGCUUGUGACGUGUUUUCCGUGUCGCAAUUGGCUCGGCUGUAUGUUCCGGUCACGUGGUGUUGCCUCUGCAGUUGCACCCGCCUUCGUGUGCCCUGCUACGAACCGGCGGUGAUCCUCGGGUCUGUUGGGCGCUCGCGCGUGACCUCUAGCGUCCGGUCACGUCUGAUUUCGUGCGUCUGCGAUGUGGUAAAUGCCCAGCCAGUGGCUCUAAGGCGAUAUCUUGUUGUAUGAGAUACACAACCGAAACGUUCGUUCGACGCAGCAGCGGCUCGUUUGCAGGCGAAUGUGUUAGCCCUAAUCUUAUUCAGCGAGUGAAUUACUGGCCUUAUGAGAGGAAACAACUAUAGAGAACCAGGUCGCUGGUCUUCUACGUUGCAGUAGCGUGGUGCAGGAUAGGGCAGCGCUGAUGGGAGCGUGAGUUUUCACGCGGAGUCGUAAGUGAAUUCAUUUACUCGUGCGGUAAACGCCGAGUCCGACAAACCAAAGAGCAGCCGUGGAUCUUCCAGGUCGUGCUGCCAUGAACUACAUCAAAGUGUACUGCAUUUUUUACCAGCUAAUUACGAAUUUAUUCGCGAUUUCGGUGCAUGCAUGUGCUUGUUUUUCAAGGGAACAUUGUGAUUUAACGUGAUUUAACGCGCUUCGUCGUCGAAAAACUUAAUUGCUUAUAUGAGACUGCUUCUUCCUCAGUGUGCUGAGCUAGUGUGAUCUCGAACCUCAAGUGUGACUUGCGCAGUCAGGAUGACAUGUGCGGCUGUACUAACUGCGCCUUGUGGCUACAUAUUGUGUUCAUUCGGACUUGUCCCCAACAUUCCACGCCUUGCUGAUCGACCGAUUCCACAUGAUCUGACAGUGAGCAUAAUAUGUAACGCUACUGCCAUUACUAGAGCCUCACGCUGCAACCUAUACAUUUUGUCAAGUCUCAAAACCAUUCUGUGACAAGGUUUGUCGAUAUAGGAGGUUCCUGUGGUACGACUGGCGCUGCGAGUGCUUUUCAAACACAGUGAGCCUGUUUAAUUCUCGCUAUCUCAGACGCUUCCGAGCAGCUAAGUUUCAGAAGGGCCCUAGGGCACUUCCAGAAGGCACAUCCUUUCACGCGUUGAGCGGCUUCGGUACCUUUGACUCGCACAAUACUAUAACUGCCAUACACUUAAUGUGCAUACGUUUCAGCUCCAAGCAAACCCAAAGCUUGCUACGAUGGACUCUGAUAAGGCUUUGAUCAAUAGCGAGGUAUUGGACGCUACACUGGCCAGAAAACAGAUGUUAAAUAUACCUUGUGAAGAAGACGCGCCUCCGUCCAGCAGCAUCGCUGCUGGGGGUGAAUUAAUAUUAACGAGAAGGGCGAAUCUACGUUCGGCAGGCUUUUUGUGUGUGAUCUAAAAAAUAUCGACAAUGUUGCAGUACCACGAAACGAAGUGGGAAAUUGGAGCCGCUCAUACAGGAAGGUGGACACGCCAUACAUACCGAUGCAUUUCAAAGUGUUAUGCUUUGUGACACGUCAUUUGGUGGGUCACGUAACAGUGCACGGUGCGGUAAAAACGUACACAGUAUCUCGUCCAUAGGUUUAAUUUAUCAAAGCAACAGUUCGACUGUCCAAGCAUGGUCAUUUAAUUUUUAAUGCCCAACACAAUCCUUAUGUCCAAGCAUGUUGAUACAUGUUGCACGUUUCGUUAAAUUAUGCUGAAAGUCGGCACCUGACCAUCGCAAUGUAGCCCUGCAACGGAAUCAACCGCACCCAAGAAGUCUCGAGUAGCGAGGGUAACUUUCUGCAUUCAGACAUUGUCAAAAUUACUACUGCAUUCUACGAACUGUCAGAUCUGUUCUCGAUGGCUAUAAGGACUACUUAAUAUACCAGCUGAGAUCAAAAUACCUGACAGGCUAUGCCACUGUCCUCCACUCACACAAUUAGCGUAUAUUUUGCUUUCUCUAAAGAAAAGCGUGCUAUAUGCGCAUGUCGCUUUUUAAUGUUCGUUAAUUUCUUAAGGUGCACUGCUGGUUGAGACAUCGCCGUGACCCUCUGUGCGCAAACCCGCGUCACACUUUCCAAUAUCACUCAACGGCAUAGCCGCAAAAGUACAACGAGCAACACACUGUACAUGACCUGCAAGCAGAACAACGCGUGACGCUUCUAUAUAUAUAUAUAAAGACGCCUGCGCUUUCUCGCACACUAUACUCCAGGAAACGCGUAAGAGAGCAUUUGAUUCUCUCGCUGAGUUCGUAACGCAUUUUUAUGGCAGCCAUGGAUUUCAAUAGUUAGCGGUGGACGAAUUCGAAUCGCGCAAGCGUCGUCAGUAGACUUCAGAAAUCGCAGAGAAAGAGUGUAACACCACACUUAGUUAUCUAGUGCUCUGAUCGCGCAGUUGAGUCAGCGAACCUAUUUUCGCGCACACACCCGCACACACGCGAUUACCAAAUGCAAUUGUAGUGCUGGAGUCUAGCCGGAGAUUCUAGUCUUAAUGGCUACAUCUAAUGGCCGUUGUAUGGACGGUGGAAGAAUUUAGAGACAGGUCUCGGAGAUAGGACAGCAUUAAUGGCAGUACACUUGACACUAGAAGUAAAGGUUGCGCGGAACAGCUUUCUCCCUCUGAUGGGCUACAAGUGAUAAGUGCGUCGCUUUCGUGUUUAUUCUUCCUCGUGGCUAUGUUGCUGUAGGUGUAUUCUCUCUAUAAGGAACAAACAUAUGCGCACGUCCUUGACCACGCGCUUUUAUCUUUGUGAGAUUGUGUUCUCCGUGCGUUAGAAAAACGAAAACGAAUAUGCGCGUUGAAAUGGAUGUCGUGUUUGUCGUUUCCCACUCAGCGUUAACGUCGUGCGGUGUUUGUAUGUAGUUUUUCCUCUAAACUUGCUCGCGUUACAAAAACCACGCGGCUUCCUCGGCUAUUGCAGGUACACGACACAUUUUAUGUACUGUGAUCCGGAGCGUAUAAUGAGUCACGUCGGGCUUUUGCCGCGUCUUGUCGUUGUGCUCGUGCCGUGAUGAGCUUGUCAUGACUAUGUCACGAUGUGUUCAUGACAUUUAGCUCCGCCAUGUCAUUGAGGCGAUUCUAACUUGUAAUAAGUAUACCUUGACUAUAAAGGAAGAAGUAGUAAAUAAUUUUUUUCCGCUACCAGACUAACUUGUUGGUAUGUUCGCUACUUGCGGAGAUAGUACUAAUGAUCUGCGCAUAAAAGCAUAAUUUCCCCCACGUUUGUAUUAGUGUAAAUCAUGCGUAUAAAGUAAGAUUAGCCGUUCUCCCCAAAAAAUAUUCAGAUGCCUGUGAUGAAUUAUUCUUGCUCGCACGCACGCCAGCUAUAGCGCUCGAGCAGUGUUGACGUUAGCUUUCCGCAAGAUUCACUGCUUACGUCGCAAUAGAUGCCCCUCUUUCAAUCCGUGCGCGUCUUGUAUGUCCUCGAGGUAUGACAUAAGAACAGCACGUAAACUUCUAUCAGCGAACAAGGUCACGUAUCUGUAUCUGUUAGUAUUUUCGAACCACUUCGUUUUUUGUUUUUUGUUUUUUUUACAUCUUCUUUGUAUUUCGUGCAACUCCUGGUGCAAUCUUUCCAGUUCGCAUACGAUGGGCGGACAUAAAACAAGCACGCUCUUUUCUGGGCAGAUUAGUUGAUUUGAUUCAUUAAGAGAGACACGGGCCCAACGAACGAAUCUUGGAGCAAAGAAUGCUAUAAAAUUGCGUAAUGUGCUCUACACGUCUAUGCGUGAUAUCGAUCAGUCAUCACAAAAAACUUGGUCACUUCGCAGUCUCGGUGCAGGUUGUAGGGAGAAACACACAGUUAUUUCGAGGUCAAACAUAACGCGGUGCGUGUUCGUGCUAGACUUCGCAAACGUUGCACAAAACACGGAACAAGAUUUCUGUGCCGACCUGACACCGUGUUGAAGUGCAGGUGUCAUCUGUCUAGCGAUCAAAUUAUCAGAACUGGAAGUUGGAAACUAUACACCAUGCUAGCAUAAUAUUGCACUUCGUAUCGCUUCGCAGAACCUUCAGGAAGAUUUUUCACUCGUCCAAACGAGUUCAUCGUCUGCUUUAUUUCAUUAGUUAUUGUACUGGUUUUGGGAGCUUCCUGCAGUAUUUUGAUCAGACACGUGAGAAGAAAAAAAAGACAUGCAACGUUGUCUGCACGGUUUGUGUUGAUGUCUUCACAAACCGCAUCUUUAGGGGGAACCUCAUGUUUAAGAACAAUUUCUCCGCUUGCCCAAAAAAACGCAUAUCUGCUUUUGUCGCGUAUAAGAGUGAGGAGUUUGGAGUAGGACGCCGGAAUUUAUAAAAAUGCGUAAACGCGCGUUUUUUCUUUCUUUUUUUUAAAAUCGCGUUUUGCCAUGGGACGCAACAAGUUGCCGUUUCGCUCACAGUAUAUAUAGCCUUGUGGGCAAUUGUGCUUAUACGCUGUCUUCCGUAACGCACACGGUGUCUUCGCAUUUUCCCAUUGUGCAAAGAAAAUUUUUCAAACGGCAUGUUACCGCUUCGCUGCUUCUUUCUACGCCGUGUUUGAUCCGAUGCAGCCUUAAGGGUAAACGAAGCUCUCGGUGCGUUCCAAGCGGGUUUUGACCUGCUUUAUGGAAACAUGCACGCUAGAAAUAUAAAACUCGAGAGAAUUUCACAGAACAGCGCACAUUUUCUAUUUUUGUUUUGUAUCUAAUUGCGCUGGCUCCACAAUGCAUUUUUGCCAACUUGCCCGCAUUGCCAUUCUUUUUCUGAUACUGCGCACGUAUCUAGGUGUGUUGAGCAUGCCCGUAGCUCGUGCCAUAACAUUUUUAUAAAUAUUCAUUAUACUGCACACAACUACUGCGUUCGAUUUCGUGGAAUGACAUGGCUGUGCAUGUUCGUCAGCAGUGUGCAGCCGGCCACUAAAGUUUACGAUAAACUGUAGAUUCAACGUUUCAGUCUGUAUAUAAUUUUGCGAAUUGCACAGUGGUCCAAUAAACUAGAAGCGUCGGACAUUAACAGAGCAUAAAUUUGCAUUUGUCGUGGGACCCGUGCCCCUUAAACUUUUGCGGCCGACUGCACUUCUAUGAGAUUACCUUCUAUGGGUUUAUACAGAAAAAGGCUAAUACUCACCGAAAAUCCGACAUUAUUCUCCUCGCCUAGUACAGUAACUGAUUCUGAGUCCCGAAUAAACACACGCGCAUACAAUUAUUUUUUUUUUGGUUUUGUUUUUCUGAUAGCCAUUUUGCGUAUACUGUACGCAAGUUGUGUACGCUGUACGCCAUUACGCGUACGUGUGCGUUGCACGCACACAGAAGCGCGCGGCGGGAACAAAUUGAAUUACUCUCGAAGAUAGUUGGCACGUGUACCUCCUACCGCCCCCUACGGUCAAAUGUGUUUUGUACGCCGUGCAUUGAGGAUGAGUGUUUCAAAGGGUGCCGACGCGCAGAGCCAGUCGAGCGGGUCGACACUCCCGCCGAUGAUUCCCGCUCGGCGCUCUGUUCAUUUCAUUCAUGUGAUAGCCGAACUGGUCAAGUUGUGCUAGUCAUGCUGUUGGACGUCAUAAAUAGAUUUACGUCUACGCCUGUCUGUACGGGCAGUCUUUGUACAUAACGAUGAAAAAGAAAAGAAAAAGCAGCAAUCUCAUACCAUGUUGGCAUUUGAAUCUCAUCCGCAUCAAUAAACUGUGUUUCUUUUUACGUUUA